AUUGAACGCUGGCGGCAGGCCUAACACAUGCAAGUCGAACGAGUGGCGGACGGGUGAGUAAUGUCUGGGAAACUGCCCGAUGGAGGGGGAUAACUACUGGAAACGGUAGCUAAUACCGCAUACCAUCGGAUGUGCCCAGAUGGGAUUAGCGAGUUGGUGGGGUAACGGCUCACCUAGGCGACGAUCCCUAGCGGGGCUGAGAGGAUGACCAGCGACACUAGCACUGAGACACGGUCCAGGCUCCUACGGGUGGCAGCAGUGGGGAAUAUGUCACAAUGGGCGCUAGCCUGAGGUAGCCAUGCCGCGUGUAGUAAGAAGGCCUUCGGGUUGUAAAGUACUUUCAGCGGGGAGGCGUGACCCGCAGAAGAAGCACCGGCUAACUCCGUGCCAGCAGCCGGGGUAAUUC
rnacentral:rRNA from 1 species